UUAUACUUGGGUGUUCACUCUUCUACUUGUUCCCUUAAAGGGGAGGGGGGUUAAAUACUGGUUUGGGUGUUCUGUGGCAGCCACACCCUUCUCUUGCUUCUGUUGAGGGAUGGAGGAAGGGGGGUGGUUUUUGUCCCCCUCUUUUUUUCUUCCCAUCUAUUGCUUCUGUUUCAGUCUUGGGGUGGGGGUGGGGUUUGGUCAGGUACAAUCACUUUUUUUUUUUUAUUUACUCUGCCAUUUUCCAUUAUCUCUGUUGGGGUCUUUGGGAACUCUUUGUGUGUACGAUUGUCAGUUAUGGUUCUUUUACACCUCGGUCUUUCUUCAUUCUUCCUUUAUUUGGUUCUUCCAAGAAAUACCUUUAUUUCUUCUAUCAGCUUUGCUUUCCCCCCACCCCCGCCUGGGACAGGGGCGGUUAUGCUUCUCCCUUCCUCCCCACUUUCUUACUGCUGUUGUCGGAUGACGUUACAUUUAUUGUUGCAGUUGCAAGGUUUCAUUACAUCUUUCAAUUGCAGGAAUCUUCCACUUGACAGAAUCCAGUUCAUUCCAGUUUCAAAAACUCUUGCGUUGGAUCCAUCCCUUUGAGCCCCCAGAACUACAAGAAGGGUCCCUCGAACAGUCUUCCUCAAAACUAUUCAACACCAUUAAACCCUAACCCUGACCCCUGGUUCUAUGAUACAAACUUCAUUUUAAAACCUUCCCUCGAAUCAAAAUUUCUUCAAGCACCAGCUUAAUAAUAAUAAUCCUUCCUACUAUAGGCACAAGGCCUGAAAUUUUGGGGGAGUGGGUCAGUCGAUUACAUUGACCCCAGUACUUAAUUGGAAAAGAUGAAAGGCAAACCCAACUUUGGUGGAAUGAGUUUGCUUAAUAAUAACAAUAAUAAUAAUGGUUUCUGAUUUAAGCCUGGGGUUAGCAAUUUUUAAGAAAGGGCUAGUUGAUUAUAUUGGCCCCUAUAACUUGACUAGUAUUUCAUUUUAUCAAACUUGGUAGGAUGAAGGGCAGGAUCAAUGUUGAUGAGGUUUGAACUCGGAGCAGUUGAAAUGGGAGCUGCAAUGAAAUGCCACCGAAGCAUUUUGUCUGGUGCUCUACCGAUUCCUUCCAGUUCACCAACCGUCACCAGUGAAAUGACUUAUUUUACUAAAUUCUUAUUUUAAAAAUGAAUCCAAACAAAGACAAAGUAUUUUUACCAGAAAUGGUUGAAAGAGGUAUUUGGUUGGGUGGGGUGGGGGGUAUUUACAUUGAUGAAACAAUUAUCAUUAUAAUUAGGGCAGUGAGCUGGCAGGAUCGUUAGCACCCCGGGCAAAAUGCUUAGCAGUAUUUUGUCUAUCUGCACAUUCUGAGUUCAGAUCCCACUGAGGUCAAAUUUGCAUUUCAUCCUUUAUGGGUCAGUGAAAUAAGUAUCAGCUGAGCACUGGGGUCAGUGUAAUCAACUUAGCCCCUCCCCUCAAAUUACUAGCCUUGUGCCAAAAUUUGAAACAGUUAUUAUUAAAGUGGCAUGCUGGGCGAAAUGUUUAGCGGUAUUUCGUCUGUCUCUACGUUCUGAGUUCAAAUUCUGCCGAGGUUGACUUUGCCUUGCAUCCUUCCAUACCAGUUAUGCACUAGGGUCAGUGUAAUUGACUAGUCCCCUCCGGCAAAAUUUCAGGCCUUGUGCCUUAUUAAGGCAGCAUGCUGGCAGAAUUGUUAGCAUGCUGGAUGAAAUGCUUAGCAGUAUUUCACCUGCUCUGUUCUGAGUUCAAAUUCCGCCGAGGUCAACUUUGCCUUUCAUCCUUUCUGGGUCGAUAAAAUAAGUGCCAGUCGAGCACUGGGGUUGAUGUAACUGAUUCAUCCUCACCUCCCCACAAGCUGCCCUUUUGACAAAAUUUCAAACCAUUAUUAUUGAGGCAGUGAGCUGGCAGAAUCGUUAGCACACUGGGCAAAAUGCUUAGUAGCAUUUUGUCCGUCUUUAUGUUCUGAGUUCAAGUGCUGCCAAGGUUGACUUUGCCUUCCAUCCUUUCGGGGUCUAUAUAAUGAAGGCAGUGAACUGGCAGAGUCGUUAGCACACCGAGCGAAAUGCUUAGCGGUAUUUCGUGUGUCUUUACGUUCUGAGUUCAAAUUCUGCUGAGGUCAACUUUGCCUUUCAUCCUUUCGGGGUUUGAUCUUAUCGACUGGCCCCACUCCCCAAAAGUAUCGGGCCUUGUGCCUAUAACAGAAAGGAUUGUUAUUAUCGAGCUGGCAGAUUCAUUAGUAGCAUUCUCCCAACUCCUUAUGUCCCCUAUUCAAAUGCCAGUGAGGUUGACUUCAUCUUUUCAGGGUUCAUAAAUCAAAUAACAGGCAAAUACUAGGGGUCAUUAUAAUUGGCUUUUCCACUUCUUAAAUUUACUGGCCUUGUGCCAAAAUUUGCAAAAAUUAUUAUUGUUAUUGUUUGUUAAGAGUAGUGGGUGUUGUGGAGCAAGAUUGUUGAUGUUUAACUCUUGUUUCAUACUAAACCACCAGAAACCACAAACUUCCAAAAGUCAAACCAUUCUGUUUUUGAAAAUGUUUAUAUUUAAAGUUAAAAUCUCCCAUCAUAAUUUUAUAUAAGAAAGUUUUGUUAAAAUAUGUUCCAAACACCAGCUUUUCAUGAUAUUUUUUACCCAGUCCCUCCAAGUUUUUUUUCAUUAUUUUCAGAACACACAUCCAGUAAGGAUUUAAUCAGGGUUAUUAAAAGAUUAAUAUUCAAUUCCAUGGCAUUGUGCCCUGGGUUGGUAUACUUUUAAGAUGAUUUUCACCUUUCAAUCAAGUGGGGUUGAGAGUCAUGUACUGGUGUCAAAGCAAUUGAUCCUCAAAGCCAUCUACAAAUCUGUAGUCUUGUGCCGAUGCCAAACAAAAUUGUUGCUGCUGCUGCUGCCGCUGCCAUCACCGCCAUAAUGAUCCACUAAGUUUUCUUGGCAAGAGACAUAAUUUCUUGUUUCCCUCAACUGUUACAAUCUCCCUCCCCACUGAAAAUUUACAACAAUUAACGUCAAAAUAAGACACCACCACCUCCACCACUUGUUAACCCACAUUCUGUUGCUUCUUCCUAGAGUUGUUUUUCAUUGUUGAAAUAGCUAAAUGGCUAAAGUGACUCAGUGAUUUCUUGACAUAUUUCAUUGUUCUUUCCGAAACCCCAGUUUUACUAAACUGUUGGAAAUUGGCACCAGAACUCGCUCCCAUUAAAAAUAACAGAACAAAAUAUAAAGUGAAUGUUACCUGUGAUAGACUAUCAAUCUUUCCAUGGUUUAUGAAAUUGCUGAUAAUACCAACAGACAAGAACAAGAAUUGAAGGACAAUCACUACAAAAGAUAAAACUUGAACUGAGUGCUUCGAUCAUUAUUAUUAUUAUUAUUAUUAUUAUUAUUAUAAUAUUAUUAUUAUUAUUAUUAUUACUAUUAUUAUUAUUAUUAUUACUACUAUUAAUAUUAUUGUUAAUUUGUGACCUUCUGUUUGGCACCGUCUUGUGACUUUAAAAAAGAUUUUAAAAAAAAGAAAAAGAAAUGCCUGAUGGGGGAGGGGGAGGAAAGAAAACGACACCCUGCCCCCCCUUUCCACAAACAAAACUAAGCACACCCUUCCCAGCCCCCAGCCCCGGCCGUGUGUUGAUUUUGUGUCAGGAAAACAAAAAAAGAAAAACAAAAACAAAAGCCAUCAAGAUGUGACUUUAGGGCAAAAAGCGACCAUGUAUAUAUAUAUAUAUAAAUAUAUAUACAUACAUAUACACACACACACAUAUAUAUAUAUACAUAUAUAAAUAAGUAAAAUAAAUUUGGGGUGCAGGGCAAGCAGGGGUCACAAGUGCCAAGUGCCCCCCCCCUCCUAAUUUCACAAAGACUGUUGUUCCAUAGUAUUAAAGCCGUGUGUAAGAAAGGCUUUUCUUUUUGUAUAAAAAUAUUACAUCAUAUUUACAAUAUGUUGUGUUAUAAGAAAUGUAAUAAUAAUAAUAAUAAUAAUAAUAAUAUUACACACGUGUUGUGCAUGCCUGCAUGAUAAAAUGGAUAUCAAACUGAUGAUGAUGAUGAUGAUGAUGUUUGUAUUUGGAAAAUGAUGGCGACGGUGAUGUUGGCGGUGAUGGCGAGGGGGGGUUAUUGGUUGCAUGUUGUAGCGUCUGCUUCAUGAAGAUGACUGCUACUACUACCACCACCACCACCACCACCACCACAACUACCGCAGUAACCAUCACCACCAGUGUGGCUAUGUCUUGUACCAUGUUGUUACUGUAACAGCAACUGCUACUACUACAACAACAACAGACUAUAUCAGCAAGUAGGAGUGACCAACACAGACUACCAGCAGCACCAGCGCCAAUACUACUACCACCACUACUACUACUUGAAAAGCCACUGCGAUGAUGACCAGCCUGACGAUCACCACCCAUGACCAGUGCCACCACCACCACCACCACUACAACCAGAACUUCUACAUCACCACCACCACCACCACCACUAUCGCCGCCACCGUUGUCACUGCUGCAGACGAGAAUCAAUGAAAUGAAGGAUUAAUGUAAUUUUUCUAUCUGAUGCCAUAUUUGUGUGGUAUUCGGCUUCAAAUUGAGCUUUCAAAUACGCACACACACACACACACACACACACACACACAAAUAUAUACAGUGCACACACAUGCAUGUGACACACUAGCUUGUACACACACACAUGCACACAUGCAUAGGACACACUAGAUUGUGUGUGUGUAUAUAUAUAUACACAUACACAUAUAUAUCUAUAUAUACAUACACACACACAUAUCACACAACACACAAAUAUGUAUGUGUACGCAUUAUACACAUAGACAAGGGACAGUACAUAUAUAUAUGGACAGACAUACUAGACAUAUAUUUUUACGCUAAACACACGUCCAGGCAUGUAUACACAUUACAUAAAAAUGUAGACAUGGACAUAAAUAUAUUCUGCACCCAUGUACACACUUGUAUAUACAUUAUACAUACAUUACAGACAGUAUAUAUACAUACAUACAUACAUCGGCAAGUAUUAUACACAGGACAACAUUACAAUGCAAUAUACAAAUAGGACAUAUAUAUAUAUAUAUAUACACACAUGCGUGCACAUAUGCUUAUACACGUGCACACAGCACCACUUCAAACAACUGUAAUGACCAUGCUACACCACCACCACCACCACUACAGACAUUACAACCCAGCCAUGCCAUCCACAACAAACAAUACAACCCAACCAUAUCAUCGCAACUAAUACAAACUAUACUUUGACCAUCAUAUCAUUGCAAGUAAUGUAAGCCAUAUGACCACCGCUGAAGACACAACAACCCAGUCAUACAAUCAUACCAAAUACAAACCAUGACCAUCACUGCAGACAGUACAAUCUAGCCAAACCAUUGCAGCUAAUACUGUGGCCACCACCACUGCAGACAAUACAACCGUCAUACAUACUAUCAUCAUAUUUGUGACCACCAUAACUACUUCAGCCUUUGUAAAACAGUUAAAGAAUUGGAUGCUCUACCGAUUCACACACAUACGUACAUACAUGUGCAUGCACACACACACACACGUACCUUUUUAAAAAUCAUUUAAAAGAUGAGAAGGAAGGGAGGAGGGGGAAACCCCCUGACUGCAAAUUAAAAGCAAUGUGAUUGUAGGGGCAAGAGAGAAUUGGGACAAACAGACAGACAGAAUGAGAGAGAGAGCGAGAGAAAGAGAGAGAGAGAGAGAAAAUUAAAAAAAAAAACAAAUGCAGAUGAGAAAAAAAAUAUAAAUAUUAAAAUAAUAAUAAUCUAUAUAUAUAUAUAAAAUAAAUAAAAAUGAAAAUUAAGCCAAACAAAUAAAUUUAAUAAAUUGUAA